CCUACGGGUGGCAGCAUUUUUUAAUCUUUUCCCCUGGCUGCCCCCCUGCCCCCGCCCCGCCGCGCGUGUGCCGCCGCCCCCCGGCUUGUACCCCACUUUCACCCCGCCCGCACCCCCCCUCCUUACCACCCAUCAGGAAAGACAUCACUCACAGAAGAAGCACCGGCUAACUCCGUGCCAGCAGCCGCGGUAAUACGGAGGGUGCGAGCGUUAAUCGGAAUUACUGGGCGUAAAGCGCGCGUAGGUGGCUUGAUAAGCCGGUUGUGAAAGCCCCGGGCUCAACCUGGGAACGGCAUCCGGAACUGUCAAGCUAGAGUGCAGGAGAGGAAGGUAGAAUUCCCGGUGUAGCGGUGAAAUGCGUAGAGAUCGGGAGGAAUACCAGUGGCGAAGGCGUCCUUCUGGACUGACACUGACACUGAGGUGCGAAAGCGUGGGUAGCAAACAGGAUUAGAUACCCGAGUAGUC
rnacentral:rRNA from 1 species